AUGGCGGCGGUGCCGCACGUCGUGGUGGUCGCCUUCCCCUUCGCCUCCCAUGCCGUGAAGCUGUUCCGCAAUGCGCGCGCCCUCGCGGCAGCGGCGCCGGCUGCCACCUUCUCCUUCCUCUGCACCGCCGCGCAGCUACAGGAGCAGCAGAGGCAGAAUACGCUCCUGGGGAACCUGCGCUUCGUGGAGGUCCCGGACGGCUUGUCACCGAGCUCGGAAUCGGAUGGCGCCGCUGCAGCGCCGCCGCCGCACCCUAAGAUUCGUCUGAAGCUCUUCAUGGAGGCUGCUGCGGCUGGCGGGUUGAGGGAGGCUCUAGAGACGGCUCCCAUUCCGUGGCGCGAGGGUAACCUGCGUCGUCGGGGACUCGUUCAUGUGGAUGGCCGCCAAGGCGGCCGCCGAGGUGGAGGCUCCAUGGGUGGCCGUCUGGACCGGCGGCCCCAGCGCUCUCCUGGCGCACCUCCGCGCUGA
rnacentral:rRNA from 1 species